GGAUGUGAGGGCAAUAUGGCUACAACGUCUGUCACCCCACUGAUCGCCAAGGUUAAUUCGGUCGAUCUGGCUGGCUAGGCGGGUGUCCCCUUCCUCCUUUACCACUCCAUGUACAUCCCUCCCAAAGCCACACACUCGAUCGAAGAGGAUGACCUUCCCUGAUAGAGGAGAGGACCAUUCUUUGGUCAAGGGUGUAGGAGUAGCUGUGCUCCCCUGCUAGAACCUCCAAACAAGCUCUCAAGGUCCAUUUGCAGGAGAAUGUAGGGUAGUCAAGCUUCAAAGACCCCAGACACACCCAAAUGAGGCUGUGCAAGUGCAGUCUGCCUUAA
rnacentral:snRNA from 1 species